GCAGUAGCCACGGGAAUACGAAGGGGGCUAGCGUUGUUCGGAAUUACUGGGCGUAAAGCGCACGUAGGCGGAUAUUUAAGUCAGGGGUGAAAUCCCGCAGCUCAACUGCGGAACUGCCUUUGAUACUGGGUAUCUUGAGUAUGGAAGAGGUUAGUGGAAUUGCGAGUGUAGAGGUGAAAUUCGUAGAUAUUCGCAGGAACACCAGUGGCGAAGGCGGCUAACUGGUCCAUAACUGACGCUGAGGUGCGAAAGCGUGGGGAACAAACAGGAUUAGAUACCCCCGUAGUCCCUGUCUCUUAUAC
rnacentral:rRNA from 1 species